rnacentral:rRNA from 1 species
AGAGUUUGAUCCUGGCUCAGAACGAACGCUGGCGGCAGGCUUAACACAUGCAAGUCGAACGCACCGCAAGGUGAGUGGCAGACGGGUGAGUAACGCGUGGGAACGUGCCCUUCAGUUCGGGAUAACCCAGGGAAACUUGGGCUAAUACCGGAUACGUGCGAGAGCAGAAAGAUUCAUCGCUGAAGGAUCGGCCCGCGUCUGAUUAGCUAGUUGGUAGGGUAAUGGCCUACCAAGGCGACGAUCAGUAGCUGGUCUGAGAGGAUGAUCAGCCACAUUGGGACUGAGACACGGCCCAAACUCCUACGGGAGGCAGCAGUGGGGAAUAUUGGACAAUGGGCGCAAGCCUGAUCCAGCCAUGCCGCGUGAGUGAUGAAGGCCUUAGGGUUGUAAAGCUCUUUCGUCCGGGACGAUAAUGACGGUACCGGAAGAAGAAGCCCCGGCUACUUCGUGCCAGCAGCCGCGGUAAUACGAAGGGGGCUAGCGUUGUUCGGAAUCACUGGGCGUAAAGGGCGCGUAGGCGGCCUGAUAAGUCGGGGGUGAAAGCCUGUGGCUCAACCACAGAAUUGCCUUCGAUACUGUCGGGCUUGAGACCGGAAGAGGUAAGUGGAACUGCGAGUGUAGAGGUGAAAUUCGUAGAUAUUCGCAAGAACACCAGUGGCGAAGGCGGCUUACUGGUCCGGUUCUGNNGCUGAGGCGCGAAAGCGUGGGGAGCAAACAGGAUUAGAUACCCUAGUAGUCC